rnacentral:rRNA from 1 species
GAGUUUGAUCGUGGCUCAGAUUGAACGCUGGCGGCAUGCCUUACACAUGCAAGCCGAACGGCAGCACGGGAGCUUGCUCCUGGUGGCGAGUGGCGAACGGGUGAGUAAUGCAUCGGAACGUAUCCUGGAGUGGGGGAUAACGUAGCGAAAGUUACGCUAAUACCGCAUAUUCUGUGAGCAGGAAAGCGGGGGACCUUCGGGCCUCGCGCUCUUGGAGCGGCCGAUGUCGGAUUAGCUAGUUGGUGAGGUAAAGGCUCACCAAGGCGACGAUCCGUAGCAGGUCUGAGAGGAUGAUCUGCCACACUGGAACUGAGACACGGUCCAGACUCCUACGGGAGGCAGGCAGUGGGGAAUUUUGGACAAUGGGGGCAACCCUGAUCCAGCCAUGCCGCGUGAGUGAAGAAGGCCUCGG